rnacentral:rRNA from 1 species
AUCCUGCCGGACCCGACUGCUAUCGGAUUGGGACUAAGCCAUGCGAGUCAACUCCGCAAGGGGUGGCGCACGGCUCAGUAACACGUAGUCAACCUACCCUGGGGACGGGGAUAACCUCGGGAAACUGAGGCUAAACCCCGAUGGGCCAUGGCUCCUGGAAUGGGCUAUGGCUGAAAUCUACAUGGCCCCAGGAUGGGACUGCGGCCGAUCAGGUUGUUGGUGGGGUAAUGGCCCACCAAGCCUAUAACCGGUGCGGGCUCUGAGAGGAGGAGCCCGGAGAUGGGCACUGAGACAAGGGCCCAGGUCCUAUGGGGCGCAGCAGGCGCGAAACCUCCGCAAUGGGCGAAAGCCCGACGUGGUCAGUCCGAGUGGUUCCCGCUGAGGGAACCUUUUGCCAGCUGUAAACAGGCUGGCGAAUAAGGGGUGGGCAAGUUUGGUGUCAGCCGCCGCGGUAAUACCAGCACCCCGAGUGGUCGGGACGAUUAUUGGGCCUAAAGCAUCCGUAGCCGGCCCAGUAAGUCCUCCGUUAAAUCCAACGGCUCAACCGUUGGGCUGCGGGGGAUACUGCUGGGCUAGGGGACGGGAGAGGCGAGGGGUAUUCCCGGGGUAGGGGUAAAAUCCACUGAUCCCGGGAGGACCACCAGUGGCGAAGGCGCCUCGCUAGAACGUGCCCGACGGUGAGGGAUGAAAGCUGGGGGAGCGAACCGGAUUAGAUACCCGGGUAGUCCCAGCCGUAAACGAUGUAGGCUCGGUGUUGGGCUGCCUCAGUGGCAGCCCAGUGCCGCAGGGAAGCCGUUAAGCCUACCGCCUGGGGAGUACGGCCGCAAGGCUGAAACUUAA